UGCAAGUCGAGCGGUAGAGAGGUGCUUGCACCUCUUGAGAGCGGCGGACGGGUGAGUAAUGCCUAGGAAUCUGCCUGGUAGUGGGGGAUAACGUUCGGAAACGGACGCUAAUACCGCAUACGUCCUACGGGAGAAAGCAGGGGACCUUCGGGCCUUGCGCUAUCAGAUGAGCCUAGGUCGGAUUAGCUAGUUGGUGAGGUAAUGGCUCACCAAGGCGACGAUCCGUAACUGGUCUGAGAGGAUGAUCAGUCACACUGGAACUGAGACACGGUCCAGACUCCUACGGGAGGCAGCAGUGGGGAAUAUUGGACAAUGGGCGAAAGCCUGAUCCAGCCAUGCCGCGUGUGUGAAGAAGGUCUUCGGAUUGUAAAGCACUUUAAGUUGGGAGGAAGGGUUGUAGAUUAAUACUCUGCAAUUUUGACGUUACCGACAGAAUAAGCACCGGCUAACUCUGUGCCAGCAGCCGCGGUAAUACAGAGGGUGCAAGCGUUAAUCGGAAUUACUGGGCGUAAAGCGCGCGUAGGUGGUUCGUUAAGUUGGAUGUGAAAGCCCCGGGCUCAACCUGGGAACUGCAUUCAAAACUGUCGAGCUAGAGUAUGGUAGAGGGGUGGGUGGAAUUUCCUGUGUAGCGGUGAAAUGCGUAGAUAUAGGAAGGAACACCAGUGGCGAAGGCGACCACCUGGACUGAUACUGACACUGAGGUGCGAAAGCGUGGGGAGCAAACAGGAUUAGAUACCCUGGUAGUCCACGCCGUAAACGAUGUC
rnacentral:rRNA from 1 species